rnacentral:lncRNA from 1 species
UUGCUUGCUUCCAAAUAGGUUCCUUUUAAUAUAUAUAAAUGAAAAAAGAGGCCAUGAAUUUGAUGAGUGGAAGAAGUAGGAUAGGAGAAAUAGAAGUGACAUAAUUAUGUUUUGAUCUAAAAAUAAAAAUAAGUAAAGUAAUAGAUCAUUAUUACAAGAAAAAUCCUGAUGGGAUAAAAGUUCAAUACCAUAAAACAAAUGUAUUCUGUGUCUUUUUAAAAAUUAUAGGAACAUUUAUGCUAUUGGUCAUUUUUAGUCCAAAUAUGUAUGUAUGUACAUAGUGUCUUUUAUAGUUAGGAUAUAUAUCCAAAAUAUAAUUGGGCCAAUCCAUAUAAUGUUAUUUGAAUGUAUGUUUCCAGGGCUAACUAAUUGGUACUAGAUAACCAAAUGGUGUUGUUUUUCCCCAGAGUCUCAGAAUUCCUUAAUUGCCUAUAACUCUUUGUGCAGGGUUGGGGCCUUGUGGUCCUUUCAUCAUUCAAUAAUUAUGUCUAUUGUUGUUUUUAUUUGACUCAUGUUUAGGGAAUCCUGUUGGUGAGACUUAUUGGUGUAGCUUGUGAUAUCACUUAGAAACACAAUUUUACAGCAAAAGUCCCUGAUUGUCUGGUUUUGACAAUCUUUUCUGUCUCCACCUCCAGUGUUUCCUGAGUGGGAGUUGUUUUAUAGAUGUAUCCACUGGAACUGUGCCCCACAACUCUGAAUUUUGGUUAAUUAUAGCUUUUUGUAAUGGUUCCCAUCUGUUGCAUUGAGAAGUUUCUUUGAUAGGGUUGAGGAUUAUACGUAUCUAUGGGGAGAAGGACAAAUAUUUAGAAUGUAGUUAUGGAUUGUGAUGGUUGGUAAGGUGAUUGUUGUAGGUUUUCCUCCAAGACCCAUGCUUUCACUAACUCUGGGUAGUUGGCUAGGUUUCCAUAUCACCCACGAUGAGUGGGUCUGCCCAAGAAUUAAGGCAAACAACAAUUGACAAGUGGGACUUCAUAAAAUAUAAUAGCUUUCCUAUAGCUGAAGAAAUAUUUAACUGUGUGAAAAAGGAAGCCCACAAAAUGGGAGAGACUCUUUCCCAUCUACAAAAUCAGACCUCUGAGAUUAAUAACCAGAGUAUAUAAUGAUCUCAAAAAAGCAAAGAAUCACAAAAGAUGGACCUGGGACUUGAACAGAAUGUUCUCAAAAGACAAAAGAGGAAUGACUAAGAAACCUCUCAAAAAAUGCUCACUAACCAGAGUAAUUAGGGAAAUCAAAAAUGACUUUGAGAUUUUAUUUUACUCCAUUCAGAAUGGCAAAGAUCAACAAAACAGUAGACAAAUGUUAGAGGGAAUAUUAGGAAAAGGGAACGCUCAUUCCCUUGAGAGAAUGCAAUUGGAAUUGGUGGAAUUGGAAGAAGAUCAUAUUGAGUGAGGCAAUGUAGACCCAGAAAGACAAAUGUCACAUGUUCUCUCUAUUUGGAGGUUAGCUACCUUUAUUGUACCUUCCAGAGUAACCUUCACAGAGAUGUACUGCUCACCAUGGUCUGGACACUCCCAUUUCAAUCAUUAAAUAAUAAAGUAUCCCACAGGUUUGCCUACAGGCCACUCUGAUGGGAACAUUUUCUUAAUUAAAGUUUCCUCUUUUCAGAAGACUUUACCCUGAGUCAGGCUGACAAACAUCUAACACAACCUGGAAGAAGAAAGAAGCAGGUAUAUGUGGGAAGGAAGAUGAGAGGCAAUGAAAACAGAAAAAAGAUCCUGGCUUUUGUGCAUAAGAACUGGAGCAAAAGAACAUUUGUCAAGAAGGCCAAGGGGAGGCUGAAAAAGUACAAUUAUUCAAUCCUUGGCUAUCUCUAAGUUACACACAUUUGCUGAUGAGUGCAUGAUGAGACCCUCAAUUAAAUGGGAUAUUUCCUGUAAAAUAUGGUUUGCUGUAUUUUUAACAUGGACUGUCGCAUUCACUAGCAGAUGUUUGGAAAUGGUGAGGUUUGGGAUCAGUCUUGGGCACCACUAUGCCUGGGUGCUGCUACCAGCAUUAAGUUGGAAAGUGGAAGGGAUCUUCAAUAUCUUGCAAAGUGUUGGUCAAUCACACUCAAUAAAGUAUCAUUUCAACCCAAAUAACCAUAAACUCCCAUGUACAGUUUGAAGAAGUUUAUGGAGAUAGAUUCUGUGUUUCAGAGUAUACCCCUUUUAGCAUUAUGACUUGAAUAAGUGCUCUAACCUUUGUGUAAUAAGGAGGUUAAUGAGUGCCCUCUGUCCAGUGUCUUAGAGAUAAAUGGCUUCACUCAGGUAGGUGCUUAGAGAAGCACAGGCUCAACAAACGUUGACAAGGGUUUUGAUUUUUUUCUGAUAUUGUUGGGUAUAAGGUGGCUUAGAUUAAUCUUUCAUGUUGUAAAAUCCUUCUCUGCUCCAAGUAGUAUAUGGGGGGGGGGAUAAGAUUUAAAAACUAAUAAUUACCAAACAAAAAGUAUGGCAUAGUGACCCUUGCAGUGACAUCAACAAGAUUGAACUCACCUAAUGUUCUUUUUCAUCUCUUCUUGCAUAUGCAAAUAGAGACUCAAUCCUUUCUCCCUUUCUCCCAAUCCCCACAUAGAUUCAUACAUAUGCAGAUACCCAGAGGGAACACAACUACAUCUACCACACAUGAGGAACUAUGAAAACGAUGAAGGGUUUCUUGUCUUACUCCUACACUGAUAGUGAAUCUUUUUGACAGAUUGACAAAGAGGAGGUGUUUUAAGAUUGUGUGAUGUUGCAAAGUCAUAGUCUCAGACUUUAAUGAUUAUUCUGUGAGAAGCCAGUCUAGAAGGCAUGUUUGAUUAAACUGAAUCUGCUAAAAGAGGGUAAUGCCAUAAAAAAAUUAGAACAAAAAUUGCUAACAUCAGUUUGUUUACUUUUCAUUUUUAAUUUGUUUUGUGAAAACAAAGUAGAGAUUCUUUGUAAUUAUGUGUGCUUUGGUUUAAUGACAAUAUUUUCAAUUGAUUUCCUCCAUCUGUUUAAAUAAUUUACCCUUCCCAUUUGACCAGCUCAUUUGGAAGGAAACAUAAGUAAAUAUGCAAGUUAAGAUGGAACCACACAAUUUUUUAUGUCGUGACUGUAUACUUUUUAUGACUAUAGUUAAGAAGUAACAAAACUUUUCUUGCAGCUCAUGGUGCAUUCCUUGAUAAACUUUUAGCACACAUAACUUUCUUGUGCUGAAUUGACUACCUGUUUAUAAAAGCACAUACAGACAUAGAGAAGCACACACACACAAACACAAACACACUGAACAUAUUCCAGCUAUGGUCUUGAUAGUUCUACAGGUUAGAAAUGGGAAGUUUGUAUUCAUCUGAUGUGUUGGGUAUAAUAGAAUGUUUAUUUGUGGAAAUUAGGACUUAGGAAACUGGCACCAGUGUUCACAUGUUUCAGAGAGAGAAUGGAAGUAACAUAAUUUAUUGAAAUAUGACGUUUUUAUUUAACACCCAAGUGAAACGUGUUGCUAGCAGGAGAGUAUAUAAUAACUGAAGGUAAGGAGGACAGAGUUGCCUGCAUCUGAUACACAGUAGUUGCUUAUGAAAUGCUAGAUAGCAACGAAUGACAAUUGUUAUUAUAUUUGUAUUGAAAAUUUUUGAUGAAAAAAUGAGUUUUGUGAAGUACUGUAACAUGUCUUUUCUAAAGAAUCAGGAGGAAGAGGAGGAGGAGGAGCAGGGGAAAAGGAGGAAGAGGAGGAGGAGAAGGAGGAGAAGGAAAAGGAGAAGGAGAAGGAGAAGAAAAGAAGAAGAAGAAGAAGAAGAAGAAGAAGAAGAAGAAGAAGAAGAAGAAGAAGAAGAAGAAGAAGAAGAAGAAGAAGAAGAAGAAGAAGGAGAGGAGGGGGAGCAGGAGGAGGGGGAGCAGGAGGAGGAGGAGAACAACAACAACAACAGCAACAACAACUACUCAAGAUUGAGCUCUGUUGUAUGUAGUUUUACACUCUAGCUGCCUUUAGCUCCAGGAAGUGACUAUGCUACCAACCCCUACCCGGCUUCCCUUGAAUCCUUGGAUAAAAGACAGACACACAGUUGUACAAUUUUAGCUUGACUUUGGACACUAUUUCUGGGUGCUGCUAUCCCCCACCUAGAAAAGCAUGUCCUUACCAAUUUUCUAUCUACAUCUCUCCACCUGCCUAAACUUCAGCUGCUAAACUCCCCUGACCAUCUUCCUGGAAGAGCAGCCUAUAUGGCCACUCUGUUUCAAGAUCUCACUUUGUUGCCUGGUUCUCUUCUCUCCAAAAUAUGGCAAACUUUGUCCUCCCUUGCAUCUCUCUGUCCCCUCCAGGGACCCAGAAGUCCUGCUUGUCCCUUCUACCCAGCAAUUGUCCCAUGGCUUUCUUUACUGACAGAUCAAGAACCAAUUGGGGAAUGGGACCUUAGCAUCAGAACAACUUCCUACAAAGCUAAGUGAUUUGCUGCCCAAUAAGUAGAUAGACAUUAACCAUACUCACAUAGAAAAUUACUACCCAAGUGACUGAAAUCUACUCAACUCUGUGGUAAUUUAAAUAUGAAUCAUCUAAAACAGGCUCAGGUGUUUAAACACUCAUUUGCCAGUUGGUGGUGCUGUUUGGAGACUUGUAGGAUGCACAAUCUUGCUGGAAGAAGUACAUCACUGUCUGUAGGCUUUGAGAUGAUAUACCCUUACAGUACUUCAAAUUCAUUCUCUCUUCUUUGUGUUAAUGAUUGAGAUGUGGCCUCUCAGUCAUAAAUCUCAUUUCUUCCAUUUCUUCCCUUUUGUCCUUGCUGGGAUGGGCUCUAAUCCCUCAGGAACCGUAAGCCAAAAUAAACGACUUUUUCCAUA